AGAGAAGUGGCAGAGUGGUCGAAUGCGACGGUUUCGAAAACCGUUAUACCUGCAAGGGUAUCGGGGGUUCGAAUCUCUCCUUCUCUG
rnacentral:tRNA from 1 species